AAUAUACUCCCUCCGUUCGGAAUUACUUGUCGCAGAGAUGAAUGUAUCUAGAUGUAUUUUAGUUCUAGAUACAUCCAUUUCUGAGACAAGUAAUUCCGAACGGAGGGAGUACAAG
rnacentral:pre_miRNA from 1 species